rnacentral:rRNA from 1 species
UACGUAGGGUGCAAGCGUUAAUCGGAAUUACUGGGCGUAAAGCGUGCGCAGGCGGUUUUGUAAGUCUGUUGUGAAAUCCCCGGGCUUAACCUGGGAAUGGCAUUGGUGACUGCACGGCUAGAGUGUGUCAGAGGGGGGUAGAAUUCCACGUGUAGCAGUGAAAUGCGUAGAGAUGUGGAGGAAUACCGAUGGCGAAGGCAGCCCCCUGGGAUAACACUGACGCUCAUGCACGAAAGCGUGGGGAGCAAACAGG